GACGAACGCUGGCGGCGUGCCUAAUACCUGCAAGUAGAACGCAGUUGCGAACGGGUGAGUAACGCGUAGGUACCUGCCUCAUCGCCGGGGAUAACUAUUGGAAACGAUAGCUACUACCGCAUACUGUGAGAUGGACCUGCGUUGUAUUCGCUAGUUGGUGAGGUAAAGGCUCACCACGGCGACGAUACAUAGCCGACCUUAGAGGGUGAUCGGCCAAACGGGGACUAGGACGCGGGCCAGAAUCCUACGGGAGGCAGCAGUAGGGAAACUUCGGAAAUGGACGGAAGUCUGACCGAGCAAAGCAGCGUGAGGGAAGAAGGUUUUCGGAACGUAAAGCUCUGUUGGUAGAGAAGCGGUGACGAACCAGAAAGGGACGGCUAACUACGUGCCAGGAGCCGCGGUAAUUC
rnacentral:rRNA from 1 species